rnacentral:rRNA from 1 species
UAGAUGCGAGAGUAGAGCAUAUCAAUAAGCGGAGGAAAAGAAACUAACAAGGAUUCCCCUAGUAACGGCGAGUGAAGCGGGAAGAGCUCAAAUUUGAAAUCUUCAAGGUUCUACCUUGACGAAUUGUAGUUUAUAGAAGUGUUUUCUGUUAGUAGGAGUGGCAAAAGUUCUUUGGAAUAGGACAUCAUAGAGGGUGAGAAUCCCGUAUUUGGUCAUUCUUCUAGCGUUGUGAUACACUUUCAACGAGUCGGAUUGUUUGGGAAUGCAGUCCAAAAUGGGUGGUAAAUUUCAUCUAAAGCUAAAUAUUGGCGAGAGACCGAUAGCGAACAAGUACCGUGAGGGAAAGAUGAAAAGAACUUUGAAAAGAGAGUUAAACAGUACGUGAAAUUGUCAAAAGGGAAGCGUUUGACACCAGUGUUGUUUUUCCGAAAAUCAAUUACGAAUGUUUUAUUUUUGAGGAGUUAUGACUUCAUCGGCUUGCUUCUCUCUUUAUCGAAACUUUCUUAAUGCACUUUUCGGUUAACAAGUCAACAUUCAAUUUCUUUUGUUGUAAAAGGGUAUGAGGAAGGUGGCUUUCUUUUCGGAGAAAGUGUUUAUAGCCUUGUAGCCUCUGCAAUCGGAGAGAUUGAGGUCUGCAGCGUAGAUCCUUCGGGGUUAGAUACAGUUUGUGCUAAGUUAUAGCUUUUCAUAGACAACUUGUUGACUAUGUUUAGUCUUGUAGCUUACUCGCUUAUGCUAUUUUACCUACGCUUAGGAUGUUGACACACGCGCGUGCUCG